rnacentral:rRNA from 1 species
GACGAACGCUGGCGGCGUGCUUAACCCAUGCAAGUCGAACGCUGAAGCUCAGCUUUUGUUGGGUGGAUGAGUGGCGAACGGGUGAGUAACACGUGAGUAACCUGCCCCCUUCUUUGGGAUAACGCCCGGAAACGGGUGCUAAUACUGGAUAUUCACUGGUCUUCGCAUGGGGGUUGGUGGAAAGGGUUUUUCUGGUGGGGGAUGGGCUCGCGGCCUAUCAGCUUGGUGGUGGGGUGAUGUCCUACCAAUGCUUUGACGGGUAGGCUGCCUGAGAGGGUGACCGGUCACAUUGGGACUGAGAUACGGCCCAGACUCCGACGGGGGGCAGCAGUGGGGAAUAAUGCACAAUGGGCGCAAGCCUGAUGCAGCGACGCCGCGUGAGGGAUGGAGGCCUUCGGGUUGUGAACCUCUUUCGCUCAUGGUCAAGCCGCAACAAUGGUUGUGGUGAGGGUAGUGGGUAAAGAAGCGCCGGCUAACUACGUG